rnacentral:lncRNA from 1 species
UUAAGUGAUGCCGUGUGCAAGCGAAGGAGUUGAAAACUUUCCUUUAGCCUCGCGGAAGGCAAGGGGAGGCUGCUGCGUAGCGGGGUGCGCGCCGCGCAGCGGGCCGCGGCACGCGGCAAGGACGCGGGGCUUCGUCCUCAGGAUGCUCUGCGGGAACCCUUGACUCCUCUUUUCAAGUCACUUAGUUCAGACAGAAAAGCUAUUUUUCUUCCCGCUGAGAGCCGAGAUACUUCCCUCCCGCCGUGAAUCCCCAACCGGAGGCUCUAAGGGGCUCCUAACAUCCUUCCCGUUGGGGUCUUAAAGGAGAGAAAAAAACACCGAAACGGUGCUCAGAAGCCAGCUGUAAAGAGAGCGGCAGUAAACUCGGAGGCUCUCAUUAGAGGAAAAGCGCAGCGAAAAUCCGUCCAAAUCUUGUCAUCCGUCCGCUUUUAAAACGAUUGAUUCUCGACCGGUUACAAAUGAAAUUUAUCUUCGUCUCCUGAACGUGCCCGGCGCAGGCUUCGUCCCAGGAACUCAAACUGGAUUCUUGCCGUCGGCACUGUGAUUCCUCCCUGGCUGCUCCGAAGCACCCAAAUUUUAGGCUAUUUUUUUCAUUCUGGGUCAGAUAAAUUUCUCGAGACCCGAGCGCCGAGGCCCUCUGGGCUCUGAAGUUUGGAGCUGGGACCGAUGCUUCCAGCAUUUUAGCGAUAUUUUAUUUAGCAGUAUGUUUUUAUUUAUAUAGCGUACUGUACUGGUGUCCAAGCGUCGAGGAGCGGUGCUUCAGCGCUGGAGGUGCCUAGGCCUUGUUGCAGGCUGCUUCUUCUCAAACAAGCCUUUCUUAUAUGAAACUAAUACAACCGACGCAGUUUAAGAUUUGCAGAAGACCCACGCUGAGAGACAUGGCAGCAAUCCCGCUGAGCGGCUCACUCAUGGCCACGCACAACUACUACAGAAGGCGCGUGAGUUCAACAUCGAGCAACAGCUCCUGCGGCAGCUCGGACUACGCUGGGGAGGUCAUCCCGCACCCCCCGGGUAAGUGCCGUCCGGCGCC